GGAUUAAUUUACUGGUCGUGCUAUUGUACGUACUGGUUUUAUUGAUUCCUCCCUUCUGACGAACUAUGAUGUCAUUAAUUUGGUGUCUUAGGGAAUCAGGACUGUUACUUUGAAAAAAUUAGAGUGUUCAAAGCAGGCAUACGCUCGAAUACAUUAGCAUGGAAUAAUGGAAUAGGACGU
rnacentral:rRNA from 1 species